GUCGCUGCCGUCACGCCGCGCUUCUUCUCGCUGCCAGGAGGGCGCUCCGCGCCGCUCCGCCCGUGCGCCCCGUCAGGAACUACAGCACACUGGGACCCUCGCGGCCGCCACGGCGCACCCGUCUGCUGCAGCAGCAGCAGCAGCAGUACGUGGAGAUCGACGAGGCGGUGUCCAAGUGUGCGGAGGGCGUGGAGGAGGAGGAGGAGGCCGUGGCGACGUCGGCGUCGGCCGGCGUGAGCAGCGCGCUGCAGGCGGGAGACGUGGUGGAGCGCAUGAAGGGCCGCCCGCUGCCGCCGACCCCCAGGCCGACGCGCAAGCAGCGCGACAACCAGGAGGUGGAGGACAGCACAGCAUUGCCAGAAUCUAUAUCAGAAGCAGCACGGCGGGAGGCUGAAGAGGAGGAGCCUCUGGUUGGCACACUGCGUGAUGACGCCAUGGAGGAGGAAGCCGAGGCUGCUGAGGAAGAGCCAUCUGCAGCUGAAGAGGCGUCUGUGGCCACACAGACAGACCCCCUGCCUGAUGAUGUGUGUGUUGAGCCUGCCUCUGAUGAGCCACCACCUACAUUUGCUGAUGCAAGCACUGAGACAGAACUAAAGACAGCCCUCACCAUUCAAUCCCAGGACGAAGUACAAGAGGAAGUUACAGAAUCAAGAGUGGAGAGGGAACUCCUUUCAGAAGAAAGUGCAUGGCUGAAGGCAGAACAAGAGGCUUUGAAAAAGGCAGCAGAGGCCAAACCAGUGAUGGAAGAAGCAAGAAUUACAACAUCAGUUGACCAGUCACGUGAGCCACCAACACCGCAACCACAGCCACAGCCACCACCAGAGCCAAUCAUCAUUGAGAAACCUGUGCCCUUCUAUGUCAUGC
rnacentral:lncRNA from 1 species